GUCUGUAUGAGGUUAUAUAGAGUCUAACCUGCCCACUGAAAUUUAAAAGGCCGCAGUAUCUUAACUGUGCAAAGGUAGCAUAAUAAUUAGCUUUUUAAUUGAGAGCUUGAAUGAAGGGUUGGACAAGGAAGAAUCUGUCUUUGAUAUUAUUUUUGAAUUUUACUUUUAAGUGAAAAGGCUUAAAUUAUUUAAAGGGACGAUAAGACCCUAUAAAUCUUUACAUUAUUUAUUUUUUAUUUAUUUAGAUUAAUUAUUGGAUAGAUCAUAAAAUAUAUGUUUUGUUGGGGUGACAGAGAUAUAUACACAAAAAACUGUUUUUUUUGUUAUUCAAAAAUUUUUGAUAAAUAUAUUGAUCCUUUAUUAAGAUUAUAAGUUUAAGUUACUUUAGGGAUAACAGCGUAAUUUUUUUUGAGAGUUCAUAUCGAAAAAAAAGUUUGCGACCUCGAUGUUGAAUUAGAAUUAUUUAUAGUGCAGAAGUUAUAAAGAUGAGUCUGUUCGACUCUUAAUUUUUU
rnacentral:rRNA from 1 species